rfam:Triticum urartu cultivar G1812 contig795074, whole genome shotgun sequence.
UAGCUACUCCCUCCGUCCGGAAAUACUUGUCAUCAAAAUAAAUAAGACGGAAUGUAUCUAGAUGUAUUUUAGUUCUACAUACAUCUAUUUUUGUCCAUUUUGAUGACAAGUUUUUUCGGACGGAGGGAGUACAUC